rnacentral:rRNA from 1 species
ACAGGGAUUGCCUUAGUAACGGCGAGUGAAGCGGCAAAAGCUCAAAUUUGAAAUCUGGCACCUUCGGUGUCCGAGUUGUAAUUUGAAGAAGGUAACUUUGGAGUUGGCUCUUGUCUAUGUUCCUUGGAACAGGACGUCACAGAGGGUGAGAAUCCCGUGCGAUGAGAUGCCCAAUUCUAUGUAAAGUGCUUUCGAAGAGUCGAGUUGUUUGGGAAUGCAGCUCUAAGUGGGUGGUAAAUUCCAUCUAAAGCUAAAUAUUGGCGAGAGACCGAUAGCGAACAAGUACAGUGAUGGAAAGAUGAAAAGAACUUUGAAAAGAGAGUGAAAAAGUACGUGAAAUUGUUGAAAGGGAAGGGCUUGAGAUCAGACUUGGUAUUUUGCGAUCCUUUCCUUCUUGGUUGGGUUCCUCGCAGCUUACUGGGCCAGCAUCGGUUUGGAUGGUAGGAUAAUGACUAAGGAAUGUGGCUCUACUUCGGUGGAGUGUUAUAGCCUUGGUUGAUACUGCCUGUCUAGACCGAGGACUGCGUCUUUGACUAGGAUGCUGGCAUAAUGAUCUUAAGCCACCCGUCUUG